rnacentral:sRNA from 1 species
AGAAAAGUAGGUGCCGCCCCGCACAGGGGCAACGCUAAUAGACCACUAAGAAAGCAGGUUCUACAGAGAGACGCGGAUAAACAGAAAAAACAAACAAAACCCGCGCCCCGC